rnacentral:sRNA from 1 species
UUUCCGGUAGGCGAAGCUAUCGGAGGGAUACGGGUUACUGCCGCGAAGCAGUGGAGACACUGCCAGCCGGUCAGCAGUCCACAUCGAAAAACAAGGUGUGGACUAACGUGACUUCAUCGCCCUUCGAUGCCGAAGCUUGGACGGUGGUG